AUUUUCUCAUGAACGUAUAUAUCCAUCAAGGAACGAUACAGAAGAGAUUAGAGUGGCUCCUUCUCAAGGAUGACACGCAAAAUCGUGUAGCGUUUCAUAUUUGU
rnacentral:snRNA from 1 species